rnacentral:rRNA from 1 species
AUGCUGAUCGCCCGACGGCUGGAUCAUCAACCCCUGCGUCAGCUGGAUCCCCCCGCGAUCGUUGGCUACAUCCAUUCAGAAGACGACGCGUCGGCACGAUCCGCCCGCGUCGCCCGCAGUAUCCACCGCCGGCCGGCCCGCCCGCCUCCUCUGUUUCGAGCACCCCCGACUUGUUUCUCUCUCGAGCGAACAGUUCUUUUACGGAGAAGGGAGGGAGCGCAGCGAUACAUAAAUAGGUUGGCUGCGCUCGACAAGAUGGGUUUCGGCUCUACAUCGUGUAUAUGGGGGGAGAAGAAGCAUGAUGACCCGUCCGUGGUCAUCGCAAUGCACCAUGACAUGCUAACAACUGUUUUCGGGAGCCUAAUACUUUUCACCAACCACACACAACUCGGAGCUGGGACCUCCUUGGCCUGGACCAUAACCAAUCACUGCAACAACCGGUCGGACUCUUCAAAAGAGAAAAGUAUAUGGCCUGAAUCACCAAGCUUUGAUGACAACGGGCAUAUGCCUUUAUCACGAAGCUUUGAUGACAAUGGGUAUGGCCCUGUGCCGGCACGGUGGCAAGGGAAAUGCCAGACUGGUCAGGAUUUCAACGCCACAAGUUGCAACAGAAAGAUCAUUGGUGCGCGCUGGUAUGGUCUCGGGAUCAGUGACGAGGUGCUAAAUAACAACUACAAGUCACCUAGGGACAUUGAUGGCUAUGGCACGCACGUCGCCUCGACCGUCGCCAGCGGGGAAGUGGGCUGGUCACGAGUUACCCGCUGUGACACCGAAUCUUCACUGGCAUUGAGCAACGUCACUGGUAAAAUCAUCCUGUGCUAUCAACCGGCAGCCGCGAAUAGUAUGCCGCCUCCACAAGCACUUCCCAUAGCCAUCAAUCUCACCAUCAUGGCUGGCGCCAAGGGACUCAUAUUUGCACAGUACACUACUAACCUCCUCGACUUCCUGCCUUUGUGUAAGGGCAUUAUGCUCUGUGUAGUGGUGGAUUUUGAGAUCGCACACCGGAUUGCCUCCUAUUCGAGGUCGGACAAAGGUAAUGCGGUGGUCAAGGUGUCACCUGCCAUGACCGUUGUCGGAAAAGGGGUGUUGUCGCCGAGGGUCGCCUCGUUCUCAUCGAGAGGUCCAAGCCUGUUGUUCCCUAGCAUACUCAAGCCCGACAUUGCUGCACCUCGCGUCAGUAGCUUGGCAGCAGAGGGCGACUCCUACGUGUUCAGUUCUGGGACAUCCAUGGCGUGCCCGCAUGUCUCCGCGGUGACCACACUGCUCAAGUCGGUUCAUCCUGACUGGUCACCUGCCAUGAUCAAGUCUGCCAUCGUCACCAUAGCAUCUGUGACCGAUCGUUUUGGCAUGCCAAUCCAAGCAGAAGCAGUCCCAAGGAAACUUGUCGACCCCUUCGACUUUAGUGGUGGACACAUUGACCCUGAUAGAGCCGUUGACCCUAGCUUGGUUUAUGAUGUGGAUGCAAGGGAGUACAACAAGUUUUUCAACUGCACCCUUGGAUAUGUAGACGGUUGUGAGGCCUACUACCUCAAUCUCAACCUUCCGUCAAUUGUUGUGCCGAACCUCAAGGGCCGUGUCAUGCUUCGGCGCACUGUGACUAAUGUUGGGCCAGUGGAAGCAACAUAUCACUUAGUGGUUGAAGCUCCGGCGGGGAUAGAUGUGUCCGUGGAGCAAUCUGUGAUCAAUUUCACCCAAAGCAGUAGUAAAAUGGCGGCGUUUAUGGUGACAUUCACAACAAGGCAGAGAGUACAAGGAGGAUACACUUUCGGGAGCUUGACAUGGCCAAACGGAAGUACCCACUCAGUGAGAAUUCCUAUUGCGAUACGGACUGUGAUACAAGACUUUGUUGCAGAUACAGCUUAA